rnacentral:rRNA from 1 species
AUUGAACGCUGGCGGCAGGCCUAACACAUGCAAGUCGAGCGGAUGAAGGGAGCUUGCUCCUGGAUUCGGCGGCGGACGGGUGAGUAAUGCCUAGGAAUCUGCCUGGUAGUGGGGGAUAACGUCCGGAAACGGGCGCUAAUACCGCAUACGUCCUGAGGGAGAAAGUGGGGGAUCUUCGGACCUCACGCUAUCAGAUGAGCCUAGGUCGGAUUAGCUAGUUGGUGGGGUAAAGGCCUACCAAGGCGACGAUCCGUAACUGGUCUGAGAGGAUGAUCAGUCACACUGGAACUGAGACACGGUCCAGACUCCUACGGGAGGCAGCAGUGGGGAAUAUUGGACAAUGGGCGAAAGCCUGAUCCAGCCAUGCCGCGUGUGUGAAGAAGGUCUUCGGGUUGUAAAGCACUUUAAGUUGGGAGGAAGGGCAGUAAGUUAAUACCUUGCUGUUUUGACGUUACCAACAGAAUAAGCACCGGCUAACUUCGUG